rnacentral:rRNA from 1 species
GACGAACGCUGGCGGCGUGCCUAAUACAUGCAAGUCGAGCGAAUGGAUGGGAGCUUGCUCCCUGAAGUUAGCGGCGGACGGGUGAGUAACACGUGGGCAACCUGCCUGUAAGACUGGGAUAACUUCGGGAAACCGGAGCUAAUACCGGAUAAUUUCUUUCUUCACAUGGAGAGAGGUUGAAAGACGGCUUCGGCUGUCACUUACAGAUGGGCCCGCGGCGCAUUAGCUAGUUGGUGAGGUAACGGCUCACCAAGGCGACGAUGCGUAGCCGACCUGAGAGGGUGAUCGGCCACACUGGGACUGAGACACGGCCCAGACUCCUACGGGAGGCAGCAGUAGGGAAUCUUCCGCAAUGGACGAAAGUCUGACGGAGCAACGCCGCGUGAGUGAUGAAGGUCUUCGGAUCGUAAAACUCUGUUAUCAGGGAAGAACAAGUAUCGGAGUAACUGCCGGUACCUUGACGGUACCUGACCAGAAAGCCACGGCUAACUACGUGCCAGCCGCCGCGUAAGAC